rnacentral:rRNA from 1 species
AGCGAACGCUGGCGGCAGGCCUAAUACAUGCAAGUCGAGCGCACCUUCGGGUGAGCGGCGGACGGGUGAGUAACGCGUGGGAACGUGCCCUUUGGUACGGGAUAACUGAGGGAAACUUCAGCUAAUACCGUAUGUGCCCUACGGGGGAAAGAUUUAUCGCCAUUGGAGCGGCCCGCGUUGGAUUAGGUAGUUGGUGGGGUAAAGGCCCACCAAGCCUACGAUCCAUAGCUGGUCUGAGAGGAUGAUCAGCCACACUGGGACUGAGACGCGGCCCAGACUCCUACGGGAGGCAGCAGUAGGGAAUCUUGCGCAAUGGGCGAAAGCCUGACGCAGCCAUGCCGCGUGAAUGAUGAAGGUCUUAGGAUUGUAAAAUUCUUUCACCGGGGAAGAUAAUGACGGUACCCGGAGAAGAAGCCCCGGCUAACUUCGUGCCAGCAGCCGCCGUAAUAC